rnacentral:rRNA from 1 species
UACAGAGGUCCCAAGCGUUGUUCGGAUUCAUUGGGCGUAAAGGGUGCGUAGGUGGUGCCGUAAGUCAGGUGUGAAAUCUCGGGGCUCAACCCCGAAACUGCACUUGAUACUGCGGUGCUCGAGGACUGGAGAGGAGAUUGGAAUUCAUGGUGUAGCAGUGAAAUGCGUAGAGAUCAUGAGGAAGACCAGUGGCGAAGGCGGGUCUCUGGACAGUUCCUGACACUGAGGCACGAAGGCCAGGGGAGCAAACGGG